ACUACUUCGUCGCUCUCAAUCUCUCAAUCUCUCCGUCACUUACACUUCCCUCACUCCCAUCCAAACAGACCCUAACAAUGUCGAGCUCUCUCGACAUGUCUCUCGAUGACAUAAUCCACAGGUGCAGGGGAUAUCGAGGAGGAGAACGUAACAACAAUCAUUUUAGAGGUGGAGACAGAGGCGGAGCCUCCCGUUCUGGCUCCGCUCCUGGCCCUAAUCGCCGGUUUUUCCAGCGUGACCCGAUCAGGCACAGACCCUACCCAAUGCUGCCUCCAAUGGUAGUUCCGGAGCCGAUAAUGCUUCCUAGUGGAGAGGCUAAUGGGGAGUCAGGCACUAAGCUCUACAUAUCAGAGUUGGAUUAUGGUGUUUCUAAUGAUGAUAUUAAGUUGCUUUUCUCUGAUGUCGGUGAAUUGAAAAGGUACUCAAUCCAUUAUGAUAAAAGUGGAAGAUCAAAGGGGACAGCUGAAGUUGUCUUUUCACGCCAGACAGAUGCUCUAGCAGCUAUCGAGAGGUACAACAAUGUUCAGCUUGAUGGGAAGCCAAUGAAAAUUGAACUUGUUGGAGUUAAUUUAUUUGCUCCUCCUAUGCCUGUAACUGCAUCUAGUAACAUGGGAAAAUCGCAUGGUGCCUUUAGAAGUGAGUGGCCACAUGCAAUAACUCCACCUCAUGAGGUCGGCAGUACAUCUGAAUACAUCUCAUUGGUGGGAAAGGGGGAAAAGGGACUGAAUAACCAAGUGAUCAAGGAAGCUAUAGAGCUAGGGGAUGGGGACGUGGUGGUUUUCGUGGUCGAGGAUAUGCCAGGUUCCAAGGGCAAGAGAGACGCCAUGGUGAGGAGUUAACUGCAGACAAGCUUGAUGCUGAAUUGGAGAGAUACCAUCUUGAAGCCAUGCGAAUAAGUUGAUUUCAUAACUUAUUAUGGAUAUUUGCUUGCAUCAACAGUUUCUUGUUGGGCUCUUGUAAUUUUGGGGUAUUAUGAGUUAGAAUUUAGAUGGAUAAUGUCACUGGAAAGAUCAUGGUAGAACACAUGCAGGGCUUGGUCUUUUGAUGGUAGUUCCUCCAUUCGUUUAAAUACCCACUUUUUGUUUGGAUAAAGGC
rnacentral:misc_RNA from 1 species